rnacentral:rRNA from 1 species
GACGAACGCUGGCGGCGUGCUUAACACAUGCAAGUCGAACGGAAAGGCCCUGCUUUUGUGGGGUGCUCGAGUGGCGAACGGGUGAGUAACACGUGAGUAACCUGCCCUUGACUUUGGGAUAACUUCAGGAAACUGGGGCUAAUACCGGAUAGGAGCUCCUGCUGCAUGGUGGGGGUUGGAAAGUUUCGGCGGUUGGGGAUGGACUCGCGGCUUAUCAGCUUGUUGGUGGGGUGGUGGCUUACCAAGGCUUUGACGGGUAGCCGGCCUGAGAGGGUGACCGGCCACAUUGGGUCUGAGAUACGGCCCAGACCCCUACGGGAGGCAGGAGGGGGGAAGAUUGCACAAUGGGCGGAAGCCGGGUGCAGCAACGCCGCGGGCGGGAUGACGGCCUUGGGGUUGUAAACCGCUUUCGCCUGUGACGAAGCGUGAGUGACGGUAAGGGGUAAAGAAGCACCGGCUAACUACGUGC